rnacentral:rRNA from 1 species
UACGAAGGGUGCAAACGUUGCUCGGAAUUAUUGGGCGUAAAGCGCACGUAGGCGGCUUGGCAAGUCGGAUGUGAAAUCCCUCGGCUCAACCAAGGAAGUGCAUCCGAAACUGCCGAGCUUGAGUAUGGGAGAGGAUGAGGGAAUUCCUGGUGUAGCGGUGAAAUGCGUAGAUAUCAGGAGGAACACCGGUGGCGAAGGCGCUCAUCUGGCCCAAUACUGACGCUGAGGCGCGAAAGCUAGGGGAGCAAACGGG